GGCCGAAUAUCCAAGGUUUCCAGAGUAAAGCUGAUCUGCUCUGGGUAAGUCGGGGCCUAAGGCGAGGACGAGAGUCGUAGCCGAUGGACAACAGGUGGAGAUUCCUGUACUGCGGUAUGACAGAACUGUGGGGACACGUAAGGAAAGCGGAAGCCGGGAAUGGAAAGCCCGGUGCAAGCGGGGUACCAGUCACUUUGGCAAAUCCGGGUGGCAAUGGGAAGCCGUGAUGCGGAGCGAAAUAAAGUAGCGAAGUCCGUGAGCCAUGCGUCAAGAAAAGCCGCUAUUGUUUAUACCGUACCCGUACCGUAAACCGACACAGGUGGAUGAGGAGAGAAUCCUAAGGCCGGCGGAAGAAGCAUUGUCAAGGAACUCGGCAAAAUGGCCCCGUAACUUAGGGAUAAGGGGUGCCUGGGAAACCAGGCCGCAGAGAAUAGGCUCAAGCAACUGUUUAGCAAAAACACAGGUCUAUGCGAAACCGAAAGGUGAGGUAUAUGGGCUGACGCCUGCCCGGUGCUGGAAGGUUAAGAGGAGAGGUUAGAGCAAUCGAAGCUUUGAAUUGAAGCCCCAGUAAACGGCGGCCGUAACUAUAACGGUCCUAAGGUAGCGAAAUUCCUUGUCGGGUAAGUUCCGACCCGCACGAAAGGCGUAAUGAUUUGAGCGCUGUCUCAACAAUGCACCCGGUGAAAUUGAAAUACCAGUGAAGAUGCUGGUUACCUGCGCCAGGACGGAAAGACCCCAUGGAGCUUUACUCCAGUUUGGUACUGGGAUCCGGUAUUGCAUGUACAGGAUAGGUGGGAGGCUGAGAAGCAGUAACGCCAGUUGCUGCAGAGCCGCUGUUGGGAUACCACCCUUGCAGUAUUGGGUUUCUAACCAGCCGCCGUGACCCGGCGGUGGGACAAUGCCAGACGGGGAGUUUGACUGGGGCGGUCGCCUCCGAAAGGGUAUCGGAGGCGCCCAAAGGUUCCCUCAGAAUGGACGGAAACCAUUCGAAGAGUGCAAAGGCAGAAGGGAGCUUGACUGCGACACCGACGGGUGGAGCAGGUACGAAAGUAGGACUUAGUGAUCCGGUGGUAUGAAAGUGGGAUUGCCAUCGCUCAACGGAUAAAAGCUACCCUGGGGAUAACAGGCUUAUCACUCCCAAGAGUUCACAUCGACGGAGUGGUUUGGCACCUCGAUGUCGGCUCAUCGCAUCCUGGAGCUGUAGCAGGUUCCAAGGGUUGGGCUGUUCGCCCAUUAAAGCGGUACGCGAGCUGGGUUCAGAACGUCGUGAGACAGUUCGGUCCCUAUC
rnacentral:rRNA from 1 species